GAUGAACGCUGGCGGCGUGCCUAAUACAUGCAAGUCGAGCGAACAGACGAGGAGCUUGCUCCUCUGACGUUAGCGGCGGACGGGUGAGUAACACGUGGAUAACCUACCUAUAAGACUGGGAUAACCUCGGGAAACCGGAGCUAAUACCGGAUAACAUGUUGAACCGCAUGGUUCAACAGUGAAAGACGGUCUUGCUGUCACUUAUAGAUGGAUCCGCGCCGCAUUAGCUAGUUGGUAAGGUAACGGCUUACCAAGGCAACGAUGCGUAGCCGACCUGAGAGGGUGAUCGGCCACACUGGAACUGAGACACGGUCCAGACUCCUACGGGAGGCAGCAGUAGGGAAUCUUCCGCAAUGGGCGAAAGCCUGACGGAGCAACGCCGCGUGAGUGAAGAAGGUCUUCGGAUCGUAAAACUCUGUUAUUAGGGAAGAACAAAUGUGUAAGUAACUAUGCACGUCUUGACGGUACCUAAUCAGAAAGCCACGGCUAACUACGUG
rnacentral:rRNA from 1 species